rnacentral:lncRNA from 1 species
CUCACUUUCAAAUCAUUCUUCUCAAAACAGCUGGAGCGAACAAAACGAUCAAAGCAAAUCGCCAACUUAAAACACAGCGAAGAAAACUUCUGGUAGAAGAAAAAAUCAACUUCUUGCGGUCAUCUUUCCAGUAACAGCAAUAUUAUAUUACAUUAUAUAUAUAUAUUACGUGAUACAUAUGUGUGUGUGUGUAUAUAUAUAUAUAUAUAUAUAGUACAUGUUAUAUAAUAUAUAUUACAUUAUAUAUUUAAUAUAUAUCUUAUCUUACAUCAUAUAUAUAAUAUAUAUCUUAGAUAUAGAGAAUAUCAUAUAAUAUUACAGUAACAGUAAUAUUUUCUGUUUGCGCUGAUCAUUCCAUCGAUCGUUUCAACUGUCAGUCCUGGAGGAAGGCCCAACAGGCUCCGUUUCCACAUGGUCGGAGUCUUCCACAUCAGUCGAACUGGUUUCUCUUAAAUCAAGUUUCACAUAGUUUUCUGAAGUCGUGUCGAUCGUUUCUUAAAUCAACUUUCACAUCUGUUUCUUAAAUCAAGCUUCACAGAGUUUUCUGAAGUCCUGUCGAUCGUUUCCUAAAUCAAGUUUCACUUCUGCUUCUUAAAUCAAGUUUCACUUCUGUUUCUUAAAUCAAGUUUCACAUCUGUUUCUGACACCAAUUUCACAUUGUUUUCUUACACCAUGUAUGCAUGAAUUGGGUCCCGAGGCUGC